UUUGCUGGCCCCGUGCAGUGCAGACCCUCGUUGUCUUCGCUCGGCCGGUGGGCACGGACCCCUCUCCCCUCUUCUCCCACGCGGACUUUCCUUCUCCCCUUGGGCGCGGACUCCCCAUCCUGGGGCGCCGGGUGCCUUUUCUCUCCACUCAGGUCUAUGUGCAUCCUGAGUUUGCAGAGCGUUUGAUGGAGAUAUCUUGAGUUGGCUCUUUGUGUCUUCCCCACUAGAAAGCCAGCUGCACCCGGCAGUGGUCUUCAUCUGUCUCAUCCACCGCUGAUUCAUUCCUACCAAGAACAGGGCCUGGCACACACCCCACCUCUGAUGCACAGCUGGGAAGUUUGCAGUUUUUCAGCCAUCCCUACAGUGCUUUAGCGGGCAUCUUGAACAUGUGUCUUUGUAAAUCAGUAAUAUCAAAAGGAAGAAGAACUGAAUGACUAGUGAGAUUGAUCCCUUUGAGGAAAGACUAGAGCUUUGAAGGAAAAGGCUGUUACUGAGCAAACCCUUGGUUGCUCAGAAGGCCUGUACAAGAUAUGCAAUCCCAGUUGAAGAAAAAUUGUAUGAAAUUGCAUGAAAACAUUGGACCAGGACCAUGCCCUGUGAGUGUUAGUGUCAUGGGUAAGAGUGCAUCUUUUGACUUCAGUCAUCCCUGGGUUUCUCAUGGGUUUACAUCUUAAUAGCUCUGUGACCUUAGGUGAAUUAUUUUUUCUUUAAACAUUAUUUUUAAGUUCAUUUUUGAAAGACAGACCAUGUGAGUGGGAGAGGGGCAGAAAGAGAGGGAGAGAGAGAAUCCCAAGCAGGCUCCACACUGUCAGCACAGAGCCCAGUGUGGGGCUCCAACUCAUGAAACCAUGAGAUCAUGACCUGAGCUGAAACCAAGAGUUGGGCGCUUACCUAACUGAACCACCCAGGUGCCCCUAGGUGAAUUAUUGUGCCUUACUUCCUCAUUUAUAAAAUGUAGACAAGCCCUAGCUCAUUUGGAUUAAGAGAAGUUAGGUGUGGAGAAGGUCUGGGAUGUAACAGUUUUUAGUAUUGGUUGUAUUGGUUGCUUCUGUGCUCAUGUUCACACCCUUGUUGUUGCUAUUAUUGUUCUCUUAUUAUUACUGCUGCUCAUGUUGUUGAUGUUUUGUUAUUGUUGUUGAUUUUGUUGCUAUUGCUGUUAAUGGUGAUGACAUUGAUGUUACUCUUCUCUGACUCGGGAGGCUAAAACAGAAGGUACACCAGUGGCCUUCCCAACAACCAUAUCACCCAUAGUUCAUAGAUGGCAUUGCUUCCCAAACUCUGGUAUACAUGAUUGCCUGGAAGCCUCCCAAGAACUGCCAGACCCAGAUAGUUUUGUUGAUGAAUUCCACCCAACAGUUAAGGAAGAAAUGAUGCCAGUUCCACACUUUCAGAAAAUAAAAGGAAGACACACUUGAUUCAUUUUAUAAGGUCAGUAUUACCUGGAUUCUAAAACCAGACAAUGACAAGAAAACUACAGAGUGAUAUCCCUCAUGAAUAUAAACACAGAUAUUCUCAUUAAAAUAUCAGCAAAUUGAA